rnacentral:rRNA from 1 species
GAUGAACGCUGGCGGCGUGCCUAACACAUGCAAGUCGAGCGUGAUUAAGUGGAGUGAGGACUUCGGUCUGAGUGAAACUUAUGAAAGCGGCGGACGGGUGAGUAACGCGUGGGCAACCUGCCCCCAUACAAAGGGAUAGCCAUUGGAAACGGUGAUUAAUACCUUAUAAGUCGGUAGUCUCGCAUGAGAUAGCCGACAAAGAUUUAUCGGUAUGGGAUGGGCCCGCGUCUGAUUAGCUAGUUGGUGAGGUAACGGCUCACCAAGGCGACGAUCAGUAGCCGACCUGAGAGGGUGAUCGGCCACACUGGAACUGAGACACGGUCCAGACUCCUACGGGAGGCAGCAGUGGGGAAUAUUGCGCAAUGGGGGAAACCCUGACGCAGCAACGCCGCGUGAGUGAGGAAGGUCUUUCGGGUCGUAAAGCUCUGUCAGGCGGAAGAAAUGCAUGGAGGUGAACAGCCGCCAUGCUUGACGGUACCGCCAGA